GAUGAACGCUGGCGGCGUGCUUAACACAUGCAAGUCGAACGGUGAAGCAGGAGCUUGCUCUUGUGGAUCAGUGGCGAACGGGUGAGUAACACGUGAGCAACCUGCCCCUGACUCUGGGAUAAGCGCUGGAAACGGCGUCUAAUACUGGAUAUGUGAUGUGACCGCAUGGUCUGCAUCUGGAAAGAAUUUCGGGUGGGGAUGGGCUCGCGGCCUAUCAGCUUGUUGGUGAGGUAAUGGCUCACCAAGGCGUCGACGGGUAGCCGGCCUGAGAGGGUGACCGGCCACACUGGGACUGAGACACGGCCCAGACUCCUACGGGGGGCAGCAGUGGGGAAUAUUGCACCAUGGGCGGAAGCCUGAUGCAGCAACGCCGCGUGAGGGAUGACGGCCUUCGGGUUGUAAACCUCUUUUAGCAGGGAAGAAGCGAAAGUGACGGUACCUGCAGAAAGAGCACCGGCUAACUACGUGCCAGCCGCCGCCGUAA
rnacentral:rRNA from 1 species